CCUUAACAUACUGACUGUCCCUCCAGUCUGGAGAGGCACAGAAGGAUCCAGGUGUCGUCUGGACAGGCAGAGCAUGGAUGAGGAUUGAAGAUUUAGGUCUGCAUGCUUCCUUCGGCCGUCAGUGUGGCUUCCAGUGCUGCAGGAAGGCUCAGGGUUGCUGCCCGUUGUCUUUCUUGCUUUGGUGUUCUCGUGGCCUUUAUCAUGUGCUGUGUGCCAAAAACUGCUCGAUGCUGGAAUGCAGCCCUACCUGCGGAGCUCCCAGGCACUUGGGAAGACUGGUUGAUUGGAUGAUGAAUCCUGGUUGUAGUCCCUGUGAUGAACACCUCUGCUGUCAGACAUCACUGGCUGCCUUCUGUGUGCUCAACUUAGAACCGAGCCCAUUCUUCAGCGGCCGGAGGAUAUCCUGUGGAGCAGUGCAGCGCCCGGCCUCCCAUCCUGUGUGAACUGCAAGGCAGCGGCUGUGGCCCUGAGGCCCUCUUCUCUCCCAGGCCAGGCUGCGCCUCCUGCUCACAGGUGAGAGUUUGGAUGAGGCUGCAUGGCCUUUCCUUCUCCAACAGGAUGCUGGGAUCAUCCACCCCUCAGACACUAUUCAUUAAUAACAGCAGCACACACGCCUUCUCCAGUGUCUCACCUGAGACGUGAGCACCCUGUUCGACAGAUCGGGCGAACACUGCUGCACCCACAUCGCAGGCAAAGACACUGAAGCUACCAGCCGGCGGCUGCCUAUUUAUGAGGCCAUACAGCUAGUUGUCUGACAAAGCAGGAGCGUUUGCAGAUCUGCCUGGCAUCUAAUUCAGUGACUUUUUCUUCAAGCUUUUUUCUUUCCUUUUUAGUUCUACUUUUCCUAAGCCAAACUGGAGGCCAGGGCACCGAGAACGUCGAGAUGGCAUAUUUCCAGAGUGUGGAGGAGACAGACUGUACCGCAGGAGCCUGGAGCCAGGCCCCAAAGGUUCUGCUGGCUGUCCCAGGGGCCUGCCCUUACGACAGCCCACCCGGGACAUCUCGGAGCUUGUAUCUCUGCUCAUCAGAAGUUGGAGGAGUGGGUUCGAGGGGGCAGCUGUUUCCUAUAAAAAUGUCCAGUAGAGGUAAUGUCCUUGGGACAAACUCUUUUUUUUUCUAUACUGGGGAUGGAACAUACAGCCUUCACUCUGAACUGUAUCCUCAGCUCCCUUUAAAAAAAAAAAUUAUUUUGAGAAAGGGUUUUGAUAAGUGCUAAAUUGCCCAGGGUGGGCUCCAACUUGCAGUGCUGGCCUCCCAAAGUACAGGGAUUACUGCUGGACACGAUGCCCGGUUGGUCAUCCUUUUUUUUGGGGGGGAGGGUACCGGGGAUUGUACUCCAGACCUUGUGCUUUCGAGGCAGGCGCCGGAACCACUGAGCUAAAUCCCCGGCCCUGGUUGGUCAUCCUUUUUGACACCCAAGCUAAGGAGGCUCAUUCUGUGCCUGAGGCUCCAGUGUCUCGCAUUCUGCCCGCUGGAAUACGGUCUCUCAGAGGGGCUGUGGAGCCUCGUGUGGUCGACUCCAACCAAGGUGCAGGCAUUUGGGGAGCGUCGUCCCCAGGUAAUUCCUGUGUGUCCAUUUCCUGUUACUGAGACAAAUUACUAUAAACUUGGUGUCUUAGAAAAACACACAUCUAUUUUCUUAAAGUUCUGAGGGCCAGAAAUCCAAAAUAAGUCUCAGUGGGCUAAACUCAAGGUGUCAGCGGGAAUGUGUUAAUCUCCACCGAGGCUCUGUGCCUGUCCCAGGGUCAAGAGGCUCCACGCGUUCUGCCCUGUGGCUCCUUCCUCUGACUUCAAGUCCAGCAGUGGCUGGUCAGGACUUCCACAUAAUGCCAUCUCUCAGAUUCUACCUCUCCUGCCUCCCUCUUCCCUGUUUAAGGAGCCCAGUGAUUACAUUGGGCCCCCCAGACAAUUUCUCUGUUUCCCACUUCCAGCAACCUUAAUUCUCCAUUGCCACGUAUCAUGGCGCAUCCACAGGUCCCACCCACUUGGACGUGGACAUCUUUAUUCCACCAUGGACCGUUAUUUUGCACACCCAGCCAACCUCUCCUGUGGCUUUUCCAAGGGUCUCAUCCUCAGGCAUAGACAGUGGGCUGGGCCAGACCAGUCGGGAUGUGCCCACCACUGGCAGAGAGGUCCUUUCUGCCCAGACACCCUCCCUGCUUUAGCUCACCUCCUCUUCUCUCAUCCUCUGCUCCCCCUCUGGCGUAGAGGGAAGCUGGUGAGGCUAGAUGCGCCGCGGGAGCCCAGGGAGCUGAGCCCUCCCCGGCCAGACAGCCUGUCUUCCAGGGGCUGGAGCCAGAGCCCAGCCUUUGCGGUCGCGGACUCACAGUCUGAGGGCAGUUGCAGGGUCGGAGGGGCAGGCAGGCACAUAUCGGAGACACACGUAUCCCCUGUGCCUCUCGGCCUCCCUUCCUCAGGUGACAACAGCCUGUCUACCCUCCGGCACUCGGUGGUCCUUUUUGGGGCUGGGACCUUGAGAGGCUCCCAAGGAGGGGAGGCCCCCAUCAAAUCUGUCCCUGGGUACUGGUGAGGACCUGGGGGAUCCAGGACCCCAGCAAGAGGUCUCAUCAGCACAGCAGAGCAAAGCAGGAGGAGCUGGACAGGGCCUUCGGUCUUCAAGUAUGGUGACCAGUUGGGCUUGGUUUGCCUAAGACUUUCCCACUUUGAGCAGUGGGGGUCCAAGCCCUGGAACUCGGUCAGAGCAAACCGAGACAGCUGGUCACCCUGUCUCCAGGGCCUUUAUCACAUUCUCUUCCGCUCUGGGUCAUCUCCGCUGCUACACAGCCAGCUCUUUGGACUCCUGGAUACUAGAAAGACCUGGGGGCUGAGGAAGGACCCCAGGCCCACGCCAGAAAGGAGCAGGCUCUUGCCCCAGCAAGCCCGGCAGAGGAGCCAUCAACAGUGAAGACCAAGCUGGUGUCUGCGGGGCACAGAGCUCCCAGGAGCAGUGUGCGUAAGACGGUGAAAAGGAAACCUCUAAACACUUAGCAGCCUGGUCACUUCUGAGUGGUGGAUUGCAGGUGGCUUUCAUAAAUACUUUGAGUUCCCCCUCUGUAUUUCUUCCUCUCUGUACAAGUAAGCCAUGUUCUUUCUGUAUGUUUUUAAUAAAAGAAAGCCAGUGGUGACUCAGCCAUCCAUCUCCAGUCCUGCUGAGGGACACGAGCAGUUGUGCUGGCACCUGUGACCUUGGCUGUGGGCUGGUCAUGGCCCCAUUCUGCCCGAAGCUCUACUGCAAGGGCAGGGAAGCUACUCCUCCGUGUCCUUCGGCCCCACAGUGCACCCAGGGUCCAGCCUGGCUUGUUCCCUGAGUGAAGACUCAAAAGCCUGAUGUGCUCUCUCUUGGCAGAGCAGGGGUGCAGGUGCUGAGGACACACAGGAUGUGGCUGGCCAUUGGGAGAUGCUCUUGAGCACCACUCUGGACUGAGAAUGAUGGGGAGAGGAGCUCUUGCCUCCAGGCAGCUGGCACCUGGUUGGAGAGCUCGGGUUACCCCACAGACCAUGUGGCGCAUGGUGGACUGGAUGAGGCCUUGCCUGUGAGGAUUGUCCGAGGUCGCAUAGGGGAGACCCAGGAGCCUCACUGCACUUGUCUUAGAAUGGCCAGAGGCCAAAACAGGUUUUCUUGAGUGACCUGAGGCAGCCCCCCAAGCUCGGGGUAAAUGGUCUCCCCCUCCCAGAACUCGCUGCUGGACACUUUGUGACAGAAGAGUGGCAAGAACAGUCAGCAAGAUGUUCCACUCUUAGACAGCUGGGCACCCUUGGGCCCUCCUCCUUGCCCUCUCCCCUCGUAUUCUUUGGGAGUGCCAGGCUCUAGACUUCCUCUGGCUGCCUCCGUCUGGUCUCCUGAUACCAAGCAGUUCUCUCCACCCCAAGCCCAGCAAGAGCACUUGGAAGGGAGCCCUGGGUCUCCAGUAGAGGCAGCCACCCCUCCACCUCCUACAUACAGGGCCAGCAUUCCCCACCCUAGUCCACCCUAGUCCACCAUUGUCCUGGUGAGGCCAACAUGUGACCUUGUUCAUUGUUUUGGAAAAGUAGUAAGUGUUCUGGCCUAAUGAUCCCUCCCUAUUGAACCCAGAACCCAAGCACAACUCCAUGUUCACACAACUCCCUUGACCCAGGAAGUCAGCUUUCUCAGAGAAGCCUGGCAUGUGCUUCCCCCUCCUUGCCACACCCUCGCCCCUAAGCCAAGAUCCUGCUCUAUCCCUUCUCCCUAAGCAAAGCUGCAGCUGAGUGUUUUUACUACUUUCUUUUUUUUUUUUGGUGCUGGGGAUCGAACUUGGGUCCUUGCGCUUGCACAGCAAGUGGCAAAACCACUGAGUUAAAUCCCCAGCCCCUAAACUGAGUGUUUUUAAGUGCUAGGGAAGACCUUGCUAGUCCUGCCUCAAUUCUGGGCAGAUUUGGGAAUCUGAACGUGUGAGGGAAAAGUGAUAGCAGAAUUGGACACUCCCCACAUCCAUGUGGUUUUUAAGGGAAAGAGGACAGUAGGAACGGAGACAGGGAUUCAGGCCAGUUCAGGAUUCGGCCACACAAAGUAGUGAGGGCCCCAACCUGGCGACCUCUUGGCUGGCUAUGGAGGCUGGGCAGGCCUCCCCUGAAGGGAAGGUAGUAGUGAGCUCUGGUGUCUACCUGGUGUGGCAACUAGCAUCUGCCUUGGGUGCUGCAGUUUCUCAGGAAUUAGACCCACUAGAGGCACAGGGCCUGAGCCCGGCCCAAGGCUAGGAGUUAGGAUGCACCUCUGAGUGGUCCAGACCUCUGAGGGACCCCAGAGGCCAAAACCGUCUGGCCUAGGGCAGAAGAGCUGGCUUCGCAGACAGAAUUGUGUCUAAAAAGUCCCCUUUGACCCCUAGAGCUGAGACCUACCAGGCCAGAGUCCCCUAGAGAAAACGGACUGUGUAGCUAAGCUGCUCCCUGCUCUGAGGCCAAGUAUCAAGCCUGUCAGGUCACAGCCCUGGCCUUGGCCUUCAGAACUGCAUGCAGGUGGCCUCCCGGGUAGAGGUGGGGAAUCACUUCUCUUGGGGCCCAAGCCAAACUCCACCACACUGGGGCCCUGGGGCCUGUGGCGGCAGAGCCAUAUUGUCUGAAGUACCAGGAGGGGCCAGGGGCGCUGAUGCCAAGGCGACACAGCAGCUGAACCUUUGCUGUCUUCCGUCAAGGUCUCCAGAUGCCUUCUUGUCAUAGGUUCCUAGUGCCCUGUCCCUUGCCGGCACUCCCCAAAUUCCCCCCCCAGGCUUCAGUUUCUUCCUUUGUAGGCAGCCUGAUCUUGUAGAACCCACCUGUGUUCUGGGCAUGGACAGGUGUGGGUUGGAAUCCAGCUGAGUCACCCGUCGUGGGCAAGCCCCUUGUGCGUGCUGAGCAUGGUUUCCUGGUCUGUGAAUGAGGCUGGGGGUGGGGAGCUGUGCCUGAGUGACAGUGCAAAGGGGAGCUUGGCACAGUCCCUGGUCCCAAGGGAACACUCGGGUCUGUUUCAGUAUCCAAGCAGAUCUGAGGUCUGCUCUAGUUCUGCUCCUUUCCAAGCUGCAGACUGCACUGAGCCCGCAGAAGUGGGGGCUUCUUCUGCAACUGCCCCCCCACCACCAGAAAAGCAGCAGAAAUGGACCUUUGGGAGCCGCCUGGAGCCAGGAAAACCACAGCCAACCAGCUAGGUCUUCCUCAGACUCGACCCCACAAGGGAGCUCUGGCCGGCGAAGCCGCCUUCCACCCUGCCACGUACCUUCACCUCUGGAAAAGGAGCACACCAGCGCCCCAGGCUCUGGUUUCUGUAAGAGCUGGUGAAAGUGGGGAGAGACCAGUGCUGAGUUCAGAUGGAUUUUACACAUCUUCCGUGUGGAGAGUGAGUGGUUGCCUCAGUUAAGACACAGCAUCACGUAGGUCAGACGAAAGUUCCUUGUUGGAUGCUUCAGCAGGGCUGUGUGGAGGAAACUCCGACCCCAUGCAAGAGUGGAGUUUUGGGUCUGGGCCAACAGUGAGAAAGACGGCCCACUGGUCGCAGAGAAUGACAACUUGGGCAUGACCCAGCUCCAUGGACUAGGUGGCAUCACUCCCAGAGAAAAGGGCUCCACCUGCAACCAAGCUCAAGGCUUUUCCCAGGAUUUCAGCUGGGCCCUGGGCAUACCCCACUGGAGGCUUCCAGAGACCGGGAGCAAGCUCUUAUGUGUGGAGGCAGGGUGACCACAACACCCUAUACACGUGCAUGGAGAGAUGCUGAAAGCUGAUACUCUAAGAAGGGAUGAUUUUCACAUUAGCCUUCAGCUUUCAUCCUACUGCAAGUAGCUGAAUAAAUAAACCAACCCGAUUAAAGUAACACCUUUGGAAUAAAACAAGGAAACUCCUCUGGCUGAUGAGAAAUGCCCUCCAGUGUCUGUAAACUUGGUUCAUCAUGGGUGUGCCUGAGACUAGCUGGUGUACCUGAAAUCCCCCUUUGAUACUUUACCCCAUUGCAAAGUGGCCCUCAAUGACCAUAAUGUCACAGUAAUCCCAACAAAGCUCAUCUUUCAAUGACCUCCUAGCUCCUUCAACCAAGAACUUCCAUUCUGAGUGCUUAGAUUGAAAAUCUUGGGAAUUACCUACCCUUAGGAAGCACUGACAAGUCCUGAAUGAUCUUAAACUUUUAGGCCCAAAUUUGGUUCAGAUUAUACUGAGGCUGAUCCUUUCCAGACUCUGUUUGCUAAUGAGAUAGUCCCAGCUGCCAUCACCUUUAGGUCUGACUUCUAGGCCUGGGCCGAGGUUCACAGUGAGAUGUGAUGCGACAGCUCCCUAUCCUGUUAGGUCGGUCCCUAUCACACAUGCUCUUCCCUGGAGCCCAGCUGCCUUGCAAUUUUGGGUGCAGAGUUUUAGGUUCCUUCUCUGGACAUUCCAAU
ensembl:lncRNA